GUGGUGCGCCAUUACUAGUUUUGAAAAAAAGAUUAAAAAAAUUGUUGGCAGUGGCGCACCAGGGGAUAGUGCGCCAUAUGGCGCACUAUCCACUGGUGCGCCACUCCUAACAUUUUUUUAUAUUUUUUUCAAAACUAGUAAUGGCGCACCAC
rfam:Triticum aestivum genome assembly, contig: Triticum_aestivum_CS42_TGACv1_scaffold_621412_7DS